UUAGCAGUGCUGAGUCCCAUGCUUCCUGCUGGCCCCCAGGUCUCUCUGUCGUAUUCUCUGCCUGCCUGUCCCCCUGCCCUGUUACUCUCUCCUACUGUCUGCUCCCUUCACUCCAGUGAGAAACAAAACAAAACUUUAUAGCUGUCUUCCUGGUAGCUGUGCCUGGUAGACACAUUUACUUUCAAGUGUAAACUCUCUUGCCAAUGUUACUUUAAUUCACUAAACUGCAUGAAAACAGGUGCAGAGGUUCGUGUGUGUGUGUGUGUGUGUGUGUGUGUGUGUGUGUGUGUGUGUGUGUGUGUCAGGGCUGGUGCAAGACCUCCCGGAAGCCCAUGUCUGUGGUCUUGGUAAGGCUCCCUUUCUACAUGUUCCCCUACAAUCUUCUGGUUUUCCUUUGGUGAGGCUCCUUAUUUUAUAUACAACCCGUCUGCAAUUUUCAUUCCCUGUUGGCAGGAACCAUGUCCGUCCUGUUGGCUAUAAUUUCUUUAGUGUCCAACACACAUGGAAGAGACCGUCUAGGUAUUUUCAGUUUCAAAUGAGAAAGCAAGAGUACGAUAGCUACGGUGAUGUAACGAUAGCAUUGGUUCCGUUGGGGGGAACAUCCUCAGAUUAGGACCGAGCCAGCUCUGUAGAAUAUGCCACAGAGUGUGGGAAUGCCUUGGGCUGUGGGGGGUGUUGGCUCUCUGUCCAAGUUGACCUCCUGGUUUAUAGACACUACUGACAGCCUGCAAGCUCAAGAAACCUGUCUUCUCUGUGUUACCUUGGUAACUCCUGGGAGGCCUCUGAUCCUGGUGGGCUUGGAGUCCAGGGAGAGACCAAAAAUGACCUCUCACUAAUGUAGAGCCGAAGGGAUGCUUCUAUCUCUAGCAGGAAAUGGUAUGUUCAUUCCUGAUUCUGCUUUGACAGAAGACGCAAGAAGCCAGCUGGGGGCCAGAUGCUCCAGUUGGCCAUCAAGAGUUGAGUCACUUUCUUGCCAAAGCCUGUGUCCACUCACACUUCUGCCUGGAGCACAUCAACUCAGCCACCUGUGACCGUAUAGAACAGAUGGUUGAUCUUCUAGGGCCAAAGGCAAGAAAGUUGUUCAUUUACGUGACAUAUUUUUUUUUAAAAUGCCCUCUUGCAGGAGAAGUGCAGCCCUGUGAUUGAGUGGCUUUCCUUUUUCAUUCUGUUGGGAACAGAUCAUCAGAGAGAAAGGUCUUGAUGACAUCAUGCAGAUCCUACCAUGAGGAGCCAGGGAGAAAAGGGGAACAGCUUUCCACUCUACAUUUCUGUGCUGGAAAUUGAGACUGGAACAAGAGAGGAAUCUGUGAAAGUUUUGCUUGAGGGCUCAGAAUUCAAACAUAUGUCCCUGCAAAUGGACCAUAUGUUCCAGUCUUUACAGAGGCGAAGUUCCCGGGGCAUCCUGGGGUUUCUCUAAGUAAAGAUUAAAGUUCAGCAAAUGCCGUCCACGCUGGUCCACUGACUUUUGCAGCUGGCCAGCCCUUGUGUAAAUCACGCAAUUAGCCUCAGAUAAACGUCCUAAGCUCCUUUUCUCCUUUCUGCUGUCUACUGGGUCCUCCUGGGAGUUUACAUCCCUGGGGAAACUGCGAGUCUGUUUGGCAGAAACCAUUCUUUAUACAUGUGCACGCCAGAGGAUGUCAGGGUAAAAGAAGCUAUGGCUAUCGGGUCUAGCAACACAGCAGCCCUGAGUCAUUCAUGGCUACCAAAAAUCUGCGCCUCUCCCCCAGUUCGGCGGCCACAUGCUGCUCCAGAAUCAGGAGGUCACAGUGAUGAUGACGAAAUACAAUGGAUAGAUUUUAUCUGUCUGGCAAAAUCUUAGGUGAUUUUGUUUUCACCCAGGGAUCCAGGAUGCACAGGGGCCAUAUCCUUUUUAAGGUGUAGCCAAGAGACAGAACUUUUCAGAAAUCCCCUGUAAACCAAAGGAAGUCCAUGUGUUACAAGCAACCCCUCCAGUUUCUGCUUUUUUAAAAAAAUCUCCCUUCACCCUACCCUUUCCAUGCAAAGCCACACAACUGGUUUAAGAGAAAUGUCUGAUCUUAGCCUGGCUGGAGCAGUCAUCAUUUUUGGUCGCUCAUUGGUUGUAACCUUUUUAGUAGUCGAGCUUUGAGAUUUGAAAGGCACGUUCAAAGCCUGCCGCACCCAUCAUCAGACCUCGCUGUGCUUGUAGAGAUCCGGGAAAUAAUAGAGACAUCCCACAGCAACUAUGUAGGGCAACAGAAUGAGGACAGUCAAACAAAUACAAAAGUAUGUGUUCUUCUUCCUUGAGUGUCUUUGGUGGGUCAGGGAAGAGGGAAGUCAUGGCUGCAUAUUUUCUGGGUUGGUUAUUAGGACUCCUCGCAAUUAACCUUCAGAGUUUUCCACAUGGUAUUUCUCAACCAAAGUGUGGCACAGGAGUCCUGCCUCCAGGGUGUGGUACCCAACUUUUUCCUGUCAAGGCAAGUCAGACACACUGGUGAGAAGAGCAGGUGGAUCUGAGAAGUGUGAGCCUGGAAAGCCCACUUGGGUAGAACUCCCACCACCCAGAGUCAAGCCUCUCUCUGCCACUCAACUUUGGUAAACCCCCCUUCCACCUGCCCUUCCGAGCCUCAGCUUCCUUAUCUCUAAAUUGGGCAUAAUGUUACCUGUUCUGCCUCACCAGGCAAUUUUUCUGGCUUGAUGGUGACAAAUAGACAAAAGGGCUUUUGCUGUUAUGUUUGAAGACCCCUGAGAUCUUGAGCCCAGGUGUUCUUCCCAGUGAAACAGCUCUUCAGGCUUGAAGCAGCUAAAUCAUCCUUUGAGCGUAAUCACAAUUAACCCUGAACUGCAUUGCUGUAUUUUUUUUUCAUUUUUAAAAAAGUUUUAUUGAGGUAGAGUUGAUUUGCAAUAUUGCGAUCAUUCCUGCUGUACAAAGUGAUUUAGUUAUACAUGUAACACAUCCAUUCUCAUUCAGAUUCUUUUCCAAAAUAGAUGAUCUCAGAAUAUUCAGUAGAGUUCCCUGUGCUAGAAAGCAGGUCCCUGUUGGCCAAUUAUUCCAUAGACCUCAGUGUGCAUAUGCCGGUCCCAAACCCCGAGUCCAUCCCUCCCCCCACCUGUUCCCUUUGGUAACUAUAAAUUUGUUUUCAAAGUCUGUGAGUCUGUUUCUGCUCUACAGAUAAGUUCAUUUAUAUCCUUUUUGUAGAUUCCCCAUAUUAGUGCUAUCAUAUGAUGUUUGUGUUUCUCUUUCUGAUGUACUUAGUAUGACAAUCUCUAGUUGCAUCCAUGAUGCUGCAAAUGGCUUUAUUUUGUUCUUUUAUAUGGCUGAGCAAUAUUCCAUUGUGUAUGUAUACAUACGUCUUUAUCCAAUCCUCUGUCAAAGAACGCUUGCGUUGUUUCCAUGUCUUGGCUGUUGGAAAUAGUGCUGCAAUGAACAUUAGGCUGCAUGUAUAUUUUCAAAUUAUACUUUUCUCCGGAUAGAUGCCCAGGAGUGGGAUUGCUGGAUCAUAUGGUGGUUCUGUUUUUAGUUUUUUGAGGAACCUCCGCAGUGUUCUCCAUACUGGCUGCAUCCAGUUUACAUUCCCACCAAUGGUGCAGGAGGGUUCCCUUUUUUCUGAGCCCUCUCCAGCAUUUAUCUAAUGUUUGUAGUUUGUAGACUUUUUGAUGACAGCCAUUCUGACUGGUGUAAGGUGGUACCUCACGGUAGUUUUGAUUUGCAUUUCUCUAUAAUGAGCGAUGCUGAGCAUAUUUUCGUGUGGUUUUUGGCCAUCUGUCUGUCUUCUUUGGGGAAAUGUCUGUUUAGACCUUCUGCCCAUUUUGAAAGUCUUUGCUUUAGACGGAAAGUUUGAUUGUGGUGGGAAGAAACCCAUUGCUUCUUGGUUCUUCACAAUACUGGUGUGGAUUGUGGUGAUUCCUUGGAACACAGAGGCUGGGAGGGAAGGCUUCCCAUCUUUCAACCAAGCUGGGACGUUUCAGAAAGGAAACACUGGUAAUCAGUCCUCUGGAGAAGCAGGUGUAAAUCAAGACUAUCACAGGCAAGUCAGGGCCUGUGGUGACCUUAUCUCUAAGGACAGAAAUAGAAAAUGGCCAGCAGGAUGACAGUGACAUUUAGAUUUACGUCCAGGAUUCCACAUCCGGAUUCUGCUGGCAGGUCUACCCUUGUGCUUGUGUUGGGGUCUCAACAGUGAUCCUAUGAAUCCUUGCAUGUGGGUGAAGUCUAGACCAACGCUUGAUCAUGUCGCCCAUUGCUAAUCAGUUACACCAUGUAUCAUACUGACUGUUUCAAUGUAUCCUGUUGCUAGGUGACCACUGUAGUCAAGGGUCUGACUCUAUUUAAAAAAAAAACAAAAAAACAAAAAAAAAAACCAAGAUGGAGUUCCCACUGUGGCACAGAGGAAAUGAAUCCGACUAGGAAUCAUGAGGUUGCGGGUUCAAUCCCUGGCCUCGUUCAGUGCGUUAAGGAUCUGGCAUUGCCGUGAGCUGUGGUGUGAGUCACAGACACAACUCGGAUCUGGCGUUGCUGUGCCUAUGGUGUAGGCGGGCAGCUGUAGCUUCUUCAAUUAGAUCCCUCGCCUGGAAACCUCCAUAUGCCCGCAAGUGUGGCCCUAAAAAGCAAAAAUAAAUAAAUAAAGUAACAACAACAACAGCAACAAAAAACAAAAAACAAGGUAAAGACUUUUACCAAGAUUUAGGGGGUCAGGGGAGAGAAUAACCCCUAUGAGUUAAGUUUCUGCUUGGGUGCAUCAGAGAAAGGAACAUUUCAGCUGGGUCUUGAAGGUUGAGUAGGAGUUCCCCAGAAAAAGAUACGUGACACCCUUUUUUUUUUUUUUUUUUUUUUUUUUUUUUGCUUUUUAGGGCCACACCUGCAGCAUAUGGAAGUUCCCAGGCUGGGGGCCAAAUUGGAGCUGCAGCCACCGGCCUAUGCCACAUCUCACAGCAGAUUCGAGCCACAUCUGUGACCUACACCAUGGCUAACAGCAAAGCCAGAUCCUUAACCCACUGAGUAGUGACUCCCUUUUUUGUGGUUUGAUUACUGAUAGCUUUCAAAGCCAACCCUCCCCCGCAUUCUCUUUUGUCCUACCUCUGGACAAU
rnacentral:lncRNA from 1 species